GCGAAGGUGGCGGAAUUGGUAGACGCGCUAGCUUCAGGUGUUAGUGUUCUUACGGACGUGGGGGUUCAACUCCCCCCCCUCGCACCA
rnacentral:tRNA from 1 species